GAGAGAGGCUUGCCAGCAACAAAGACUGCUAACCCCUGUGCCCUCGGUUGGAUUCCGGGGCUCCCUCGGCAG
rnacentral:tRNA from 1 species